rnacentral:rRNA from 1 species
CCUACGGGUGGCAGCAGUGGGGAAUUUUGGACAAUGGGCGCAAGCCUGAUCCAGCUAUUCCGCGUGUGGGAAGACGGCCUUCGGGUUGUAAACCACUUUUGUAGAGAACGAAAAGUCUAUUGAUAAUACCGAUAGAUGAUGACGGUACUCUAAGAAUAAGCACCGGCUAACUACGUGCCAGCAGCCGCGGUAAUACGUAGGGUGCGAGCGUUCAUCGGAAUUACUGGGCGUAAAGGGUGUGCAGGCGGUUUUGCAAGAUGGAUGUGAAAGCCCCGGGCUUAACCUGGGAAAGCCAUACAUGACUGCAAGACUAGAGUGCGUCAGAGGGGGGUGGAAGUCCAAGUGUAGCAGUGAAAUGCGUAGAUAUUUGGAAGAACACCGAUGGCGAAGGCAGCCCCCUGGGACGCAACUGACGCUCAUACACGAAAGCGUGGGGAGCAAACAGGAUUAGAUACCCCUGUAGUC